AGAGGGGGCAAGCGUUAUUCGGAAUUAUUGGGCGUAAAGGGCGCGUAGGCGGCUUGGCAAGUGGAAGGUGAAAUCCCUCGGCUUAACCGAGGAACUGCCCUCCAAACUGCUUUGCUUGAGGCCGGGAGAGGCGAGUGGAAUUCCCAGUGUAGCGGUGAAAUGCGUAGAUAUUGGGAGGAACACCAGUGGCGAAGGCGGCUCGCUGGACCGGUUCUGACGCUGAUGCGCGAAAGCGUGGGGAGCAAACGGGAUUAGAUACCCCGGUAGUCCACGCCGUAAACGAUGAGUGCUUGGUGUAGCGGGUAUCGACCCCUGCUGUGCCGAAGUCAACACAUUAAGCACUCCGCCUGGGGAGUACGGUCGCAAGGCUG
rnacentral:rRNA from 1 species